AGAAUCAACGCUGGCGGCGUGCCUAACACAUGCAAGUCGCACGAGAAAGUGGAGCAAUCCAUGAGUAAAGUGGCGCACGGGUGAGUAACACGUGAAUUAUCUACCUCCGAGUGGGGAAUAACUGAGAGAAAUCUUAGCUAAUACCGCAUAACACUUACGAGUCAAAGCAGCAAUGCGCUUGGAGAGGAGUUCGCGGCCGAUUAGUUAGUUGGCGGGGUAAUGGCCCACCAAGACGAUGAUCGGUAUCCGGCCUGAGAGGGCGCACGGACACACUGGAACUGAAACACGGUCCAGACUCCUACGGGAGGCAGCAGUGGGGAAUUUUGCGCAAUGGGGGAAACCCUGACGCAGCAACGCCGCGUGGAGGAUGAAGCCCCUUGGGGUGUAAACUCCUUUCGAUCGGGAAGAUAAUGACGGUACCGAUAUAAGAAGCCCCGGCUAACUUCGCGCCAGCAGCCGC
rnacentral:rRNA from 1 species